CCUACGGGUGGCAGCAGUGGGGGAUAUUGCACAAUGGGGGGAACCCUGAUGCAGCGACGCCGCGUGGGUGAAGAAGCGCCUAGGCGCGUAAAGCCCUAUCAGCAGGGAAGAAAAUGACGGUACCUGAAGAAGAAGCCCCGGCUAACUACGUGCCAGCAGCCGCGGUAAUACGUAGGGGGCAAGCGUAAUCCGGAUUUACUGGGUGGAAAGGGGGCGCAGACGGCGAUGCAAGUCAGGAGUGAAAGCCCGGGGCCCAACCCCGGUACGGCUCUUGGAACUGCGUGGCUGGAGUGCAGGAGGGGCAGACGGAAUUCCUGGUGUAGCGGUGAAAUGCGUAGAUAUCAGGAGGAACACCGGUGGCGAAGGCGGCCUGCUGGACUGCAACUGACGUUGAGGCCCGAAAGCGUGGGGAGCAAACAGGAUUAGAUACCCGUGUAGUC
rnacentral:rRNA from 1 species